rnacentral:rRNA from 1 species
GACGUAGGGCGCGAGCGUUGUCCGGAUUUAUUGGGCGUAAAGAGCUCGUAGGCGGCUUGUUACGUCGACUGUGAAAACCCGCGGCUCAACUGCGGGCCUGCAGUCGAUACGGGCAGGCGUAGAGUUCGGUAGGGGAGUCUGGAAUUCCUGGUGUAGCGGUGAAAUGCGCAGAUAUCAGGAGGAACACCGGUGGCGAAGGCGGGACUCUGGGCCGAUACUGACGCUGGAG